UUCAAUACCUCUCGACGUAUACCUGCGCGCGAGCUGCCUCCACACUCAGAACCAUGGACAGGGACAUCUGCAUGUUGAUCCGCAGUGACUGCUGUGGCGACGUCCUUCUAGUCUUCUAAGCAAGGCAAUCAUGGCCCUCGGGCCGCCUACCACACUAAAUUGUUCCUCACCCUGCGGAUGACAUCUACUUCGACUCACCGAUGACCCUGGUUUUGGACAAAGAUGCCGGUCUCUAAACCUGCGACAUGCUGUCCGAGCGGUACACCUUGGCGCCUCGCGUCGAGGAAGCC
rnacentral:lncRNA from 1 species